rnacentral:rRNA from 2 species
GUAUUGAUUGGUGCUUGCAUCAUGAUUUACAUUUGAGUGAGUGGCGAACUGGUGAGUAACACGUGGGAAACCUGCCCAGAAGCGGGGGAUAACACCUGGAAACAGAUGCUAAUACCGCAUAACAACUUGGACCGCAUGGUCCGAGUUUGAAAGAUGGCUUCGGCUAUCACUUUUGGAUGGUCCCGCGGCGUAUUAGCUAGAUGGUGGGGUAACGGCUCACCAUGGCAAUGAUACGUAGCCGACCUGAGAGGGUAAUCGGCCACAUUGGGACUGAGACACGGCCCAAACUCCUACGGGAGGCAGCAGUAGGGAAUCUUCCACAAUGGACGAAAGUCUGAUGGAGCAACGCCGCGUGAGUGAAGAAGGGUUUCGGCUCGUAAAACUCUGUUGUUAAAGAAGAACAUAUCUGAGAGUAACUGUUCAGGUAUUGACGGUAUUUAACCAGAAAGCCACGGCUAACUACGUGCCAGCAGCCGCGGUAAUACGUAGGUGGCAAGCGUUGUCCGGAUUUAUUGGGCGUAAAGCGAGCGCAGGCGGUUUUUUAAGUCUGAUGUGAAAGCCUUCGGCUCAACCGAAGAAGUGCAUCGGAAACUGGGAAACUUGAGUGCAGAAGAGGACAGUGGAACUCCAUGUGUAGCGGUGAAAUGCGUAGAUAUAUGGAAGAACACCAGUGGCGAAGGCGGCUGUCUGGUCUGUAACUGACGCUGAGGCUCGAAAGUAUGGGUAGCAAACAGGAUUAGAUACCCUGGUAGUCCAUACCGUAAACGAUGAAUGCUAAGUGUUGGAGGGUUUCCGCCCUUCAGUGCUGCAGCUAACGCAUUAAGCAUUCCGCCUGGGGAGUACGGCCGCAAGGCUGAAACUCAAAGGAAUUGACGGGGGCCCGCACAAGCGGUGGAGCAUGUGGUUUAAUUCGAAGCUACGCGAAGAACCUUACCAGGUCUUGACAUACUAUGCAAAUCUAAGAGAUUAGACGUUCCCUUCGGGGACAUGGAUACAGGUGGUGCAUGGUUGUCGUCAGCUCGUGUCGUGAGAUGUUGGGUUAAGUCCCGCAACGAGCGCAACCCUUAUUAUCAGUUGCCAGCAUUAAGUUGGGCACUCUGGUGAGACUGCCGGUGACAAACCGGAGGAAGGUGGGGAUGACGUCAAAUCAUCAUGCCCCUUAUGACCUGGGCUACACACGUGCUACAAUGGAUGGUACAACGAGUUGCGAACUCGCGAGAGUAAGCUAAUCUCUUAAAGCCAUUCUCAGUUCGGAUUGUAGGCUGCAACUCGCCUACAUGAAGUCGGAAUCGCUAGUAAUCGCGGAUCAGCAUGCCGCGGUGAAUACGUUCCCGGGCCUUGUACACACCGCCCGUCACACCAUGAGAGUUUGUAACACCCAAAGUCGGUGGGGUAACCUUUUAGGAACCAGCCGCCUAAGUGGACAUG